rnacentral:rRNA from 1 species
CCUACGGGUGGCAGCAGUGGGGGAUAUUGCACAAUGGGGGAAACCCUGAUGCAGCGACGCCGCGUGGGUGAAGGAGUAUUUCGGUAUGUAAAGCCCUAUCAGCAGGGAAGAUAGUAACGGUGCCUGACUACGAAGCCCCGGCUAACAACGUGCCAGCAGCCGCGGUAAUACGGAGGGGGCAAGCGUUAUCCGGAUUUACUGGGUGUAAAGGGAGCGUAGACGGCAGCGCAAGUCUGGAGUGAAAGGACGGGGCCCAACCCCAUGACUGCUCUGGAAACUGUGCGGCUAGAGUGCAGGAGGGGUAAGCGGAAUUCCUAGUGUAGCGGUGAAAUGCGUAGAUAUUAGGAGGAACACCAGUGGCGAAGGCGGCUUACUGGACGGUAACUGACGUUGAGGCUCGAAAGCGUGGGGAGCAAACAGGAUUAGAUACCCCAGUAGUC